UUAUUAUAAAACACCUUGAUCAUUUUAUAAUACCUAUUGUCUACAUAAUUUCACAGUCGCAACAAAGCAAGACGAAUGUGAGACCUGGACUGCACUUAUCGAUUGUUUGAUGAAAGGAGUCAAUCCUGGGGCCCCUCCUGGCAAAUCUUUGAAAGAAAAGAAGUAAUCUAUAAGAUCAUCUAUAAACUGUUUGUGUUUCACUAUCGACAUUUUUUUGGGUUGGUGGAACAGCAAAAGAAAAAAAAAACAACUAUUGACUUGUAAUAAAGUUUUUUGCGCCUUUUCAUUGCAUACGAAUAUUUGUUUACAACGA